GGAAGAGACAGGCGCGAGGGUUGGUGCUGGCCAUGUUCAGCCUGUUCUUGAUCAUUGUUACCCUGGGGGUCUACAGUGCAACCCGCAUAGAGAACAUCAGCAUCGCUGGCUACAUUCCAGAAGUCGUUCUCUCGUUUGGAUCUUUCUUAGGCGUUUUGGGACUCUUCCUUCAGGAAAAAUCACAAACAGUUGAAUUGGAUUUGCUGCACCUGCAGACUGCUCGUGUUGUGCUUGCAGUUGAGCAGUCUGGUGGAACAUUCUGGAAGCCCUGCCAAGUGGCAGCUAUAGUACUGUCGAAUACUUAUCUAAGUUGCAUGUAUAAAUGAUGAUGGUGGGCAUAUGUCAUUAGACAUUAGUGUUGAUUCCAUUAUCACCCACUUUGUACUUACGGACUGUCUCCUGGGGUCUCUUGUGUUCUAGGUCAGAUGCUGUGUAACUUUUUGUGUGCAGUGAUGCUGCACCAGUUGGUUCCCCCCUCAUCAGCAGGUGCCAUGUCAGGGCCUGAUGCAGUCACGCCACACGAGUGUGCGGAGUGGUACCUGCUACUGCUGUGACCUGUACAACUGCGCCAAGUGAGUGGGGUCAUAGGUCAAAGGUCAGAGUAAUACCCUUACCAGACUUCUUGGUUACAGGCAUCUUACAAUACUACUUGUAUCACCCAGUAUAAGAGUUAAAAAAAAAAUUAAAAACUGACUUCAUUUGCAGUAGUUGGUGCUGUAGGUGCUUAAAUGCCAAUGUUGUGCCAUUGGUAGUUAAAUUAAGUGAUGUCUGUCAGAGGCUAGGAGCUCAAAGCUCCUAGUUUUUGUGUCAGUGGUGGGUAUCUGAAGCAUCACUACCAGUUAGUGGGUGAGCAGAGCUGACCUGGGAGGGCUCACUGCUGCGAUUCUGGGAAGCGUCAAGGACCAGGUAAAGGAAGUGAUUCAGCUGAUGAGGUCCAGGAGGGGAUGGCAAGUCACGUGAUACGGAUCAGGCGGGGAAUAUGAGUCGCAUGCUGGGGAUCAGGAAGUCACGAGUGGUCAGUUCUUCUUCGACAGUAGAUAUGUUCUCAAACUUCCCAUAGUAAGACUUCCUUCCGUACAUGCAGUCAGAAUAGACAUGGCGGUUCUGUUUUUCUCGCUCUCUGUCUCUCUCGGAAAGACCGUUUCGUCAUACGGGGUCCACGCAGGCAGCCAUCUCACCUGUACCCCCCCCGACACCAUGGACUCCAUCUCCCCCACUGCAUCUUUGGGCUAAGAUGGCCCAAAACAUCACCGGCUCGCAACUGCCAGCAGUUAAAGACGUCUCUCUGAUUAGGAUGCUGCUAGAAGAGAUGCUGGUGUGGCUAACAGAUUAGCCCACCCUGCUCUUUGUGUGGAUCCCAAUGCCCCAGUGCAGUGAUGGGGACACUGUGCUGUAGAAAUGGUGCUGUCCUUCUGGAUGACGUGUAAACCCGAGGUCCUGACUCUCUAAGACCCCUGUGCGUCUUUAGAAGGCGUAAGGCUGGUACCCUGAUGUUCUGGCUAAAACCACCCACUGUGGCCAUUUCAAAUCCGGCCUCCUAAUCAUGCCCUGUAUCUCAUUGGUGAGUUCUCUCCUGCCCUUUCACCACCUUAGUUACUGUGUGGUGAGUGUACUGGUGCAGAAUGGCUGCCGCUGCAUCAUCCAGGUGGGGGCUGCACAGUGGUGGGGGUUGAAGUGGCUCCCCAUUGGUUCUGUGAAGGACUUUGGGUAUCUUGAAAAGUGCUAUAUAAAUGCAACAUACAUUCAUUCAGAAUGAAAUCAGUAAGAAACGCAUUACGGGAUGUACUGAACAAGAGGAUAUAAGUAGUGCUACUCACCGUCAUACUGUGCUUUACUGUAAUUUCAGCUUUGUAGCAUAAAAAAAUGGAUGUCGAGUGUUGCCGAUGACAACAUGUUCAUACCAACACCUGCCUCUCACCUCUCCCACGCCGGACUGUUUUUCCUGGAGCAGAGCGCUGGGACAGCCUUGGCCACAUUUCAGCUAGAACAUGUCUGCCAAAUCCCAGGAAUGAGCAACCAAAGAACGACAAAUCACUCUUGGGGCGUCUUCCCAUCCUCCGAGAUUUAAUGGUUAAAUAUGUAACUCAGGAUCGUCUGCGACUACUGUGGGGUUCGCCUAUAGUCUCCACCUGCUUAUCCACACACCAGCGCUACCAGUCUGCCUUUGUUCUGAGUUCUUGGUGGUACGGACUGAAUCCCAGGAAAACCAUAACCAAAUCGGUCACAGCCAAUGUCAAUACUAAAAGAUUACUGGGUUUUUGUCUGGUCUUUGGAGUCUUCCGAAGAACACCACACUCUCCCAAGGUUCUCCGAACCGUGGGCCAGAAACCCCUACAGUGGAGAACCCACCUCCAUGUUCUCAGCAAACCUCCGUCCUGAAGCUUUUCUGCUGUAUAUGUUGUCCGCCUUUCCAAAUUACGUUUAAUAAGAAAGCGCGCCCAGACAAAAGGUGACUGGCCAAGCGUAUACCAGUCCCAUGUAGACCCAAAUGCAUCAUAUUUACCUUUCUGUAACAAGUUUUAUUAUAUAUGGAUACGUUCGAUUUCAGAUGUAGACUGUACUUAAACCAGAAGCUAUUUUCUCCCUACACUGAGUAUAUCUAGCACUUGACCCAUAUAUUCAGGCCCUUGCUCAUGGCCUAACAGCGGUCACUGUUUCAGCUGUGGGAUUCAAACUGGCAACCUUCCGAUCACUUGCAGAUCCACACAUGGGAGAUGCAUCUUCCACAUUCCGCUGACAUUUCCCAUAAUGCCUUUAGCAGGGUCUUCUCAUGUAGGACAG